UACAGAGGUCUCAAGCGUUGUUCGGAUUCAUUGGGCGUAAAGGGUGCGUAGGUGGCGCCGUAAGUCGGGUGUGAAAUUUCGGAGCUUAACUCCGAAACUGCAUUCGAUACUGGCGUGCUUGAGGACUGGAGAGGAGACUGGAAUUCAUGGUGUAGCAGUGAAAUGCGUAGAGAUCAUGAGGAAGACCAGUGGCGAAGGCGGGUCUCUGGACAGUUCCUGACACUGAGACACGAAGGCCAGGGGAGCAAACGGG
rnacentral:rRNA from 1 species